rnacentral:rRNA from 1 species
GCAUAAUAAAUAGUUUAUUAAUUGUAUACUGGAAUGAAAGGUAUAUACUAAGAGGGAAGGUUUUAUUUAAUAAAUUUGAAUUUAAAUUAAAAGUAAAAAUGCUUUUAUUAAAUUUUGGGACGAGAAGACCCUAGAAGCUUAAUUUAUAAAAAAAUUUUAAUUGGGGCAAUUUCUGAAGAAAUAGAUUUUUUGAAUAUAUUAAUUAUUUUUAAUAUUUUAUUAAAAAGUUACUUUAGGGAUAACAGCGUUAUUUAAUUAGCAAGUUCUUAUUUAUAAUUAAGUUUGCGACCUCGAUGUUGAAUUAAAU